rnacentral:rRNA from 1 species
UGGGGAAUCUUGGACAAUGGGGGCAACCCUGAUCCAGCCAUGCCGCGUGAGUGAUGAAGGCCUUAGGGUCGUAAAGCUCUUUCGCCUGUGAAGAUAAUGACGGUAGCAGGUAAAGAAACCCCGGCUAACUCCGUGCCAGCAGCCGCGGUAAUACGGAGGGGGUUAGCGUUGUUCGGAAUUACUGGGCGUAAAGCGCACGUAGGCGGACCAGAAAGUUGGGGGUGAAAUCCCGGGGGCUCAACCCCGGAACUGCCUCCAAAACUAUUGGUCUAGAGUUCGAGAGAGGUGAGUGGAAUUCCAAGUGUAGAGGUGAAAUUCGUAGAUAUUUGGAGGAACACCAGUGGCGAAGGCGGCUCACUGGCUCGAUACUGACGCUGAGGUGCGAAAGUGUGGGGAGCAAACAGGAUUAGAUACCCUGGUAGUCCACACCGUAAAACGAUGAAUGCCAGUCGUCGGGUAGCAUGCUAUUCGGUGACACACCUAACGGAUUAAGCAUUCCGCCUGGGGAGUACGGUCGCAAGAUUAAAACCUCAAAU